rnacentral:lncRNA from 1 species
GCCCCCGGGUGGGCGGGGCCACGUUGCCCAGCAGUGGGCGGUGAUUGGCCCCGGGCCGUGCAUUCGCAGCUCGUGCGUCACGACGCCGCCAGCUGAUCGGAGCCUGGAGCCGGUGUGUGCUGGGUGCCGAGAAGAGACAGCGCCGCCGGCCGUGGGGAGCGGACGCAGUGAUUUGCUCCCCCUCGUGCAGCAACCCCCACACCCAGCACCAGGAGCCUGUUCCUCUCACGCCCUCACCUGGCUGAGCCGCAGUAGUUCUUCAGUGGCAAGCUUUAUGUCCUGACCCAGCUAAAGCUGCCAGUUGAAGAACUGUUGCCCUCUGCCCCUGGCUUCGAGGAGGAGGAGGAGCUGCUUUCCCCAUCAUCUGGAAGCAUCUCCCUCCAGCCCUCGCUAUGUGCCUCUGCCAUCUUCACCCAUCAUGGAGCAGAGGUGAGGAGAGGCAGCCUGGGAAUAUGGAGACCAGUGAAGGACCAGGCCUGGAGAGCACAGGGUCCUACCUGGGCAUCCAGCAGAGGAGCCCCUAAAGGCCAGGAGCACCCCAAGAGGAGGGAGGGCAGCCAGCCUCCAUUGACGGCGAGCCUCCAGCCCUCUCCUACUUUGAUCACCAUUUCUCUCCAGGCUUUCUGCCUCCGAGAUGUGGCACCAUAGUGCGGUGCCCUGUGGCUUCACCGCCCUACUUCCACCUCCGCCCAGCCUGUAAUGUUUAUAUAAGCAGCCUCAAGGACCAAGAACCAUCUGCGAAAGGACACACACAGGAAAUUCAUAAA